rnacentral:rRNA from 1 species
GACGAACGCUGGCGGCGUGCUUAACACAUGCAAGUCGAACGGAAAGGCCCUGCCUUUGUGGGGUGCUCGAGUGGCGAACGGGUGAGUAACACGUGAGUAACCUGCCCUUGACUUUGGGAUAACUUCAGGAAACGGGGGCAAAUACCGGAUAGGAGCUCCUGCUGCAUGGUGGGGGUUGGAAAGUUUCGGCGGUUGGGGAUGGACUCGCGGCUUAUCAGCUUGUUGGUGGGGUAGUGGCUUACCAAGGCUUUGACGGGUAGCCGGCCUGAGAGGGUGACCGGCCACAUUGGGACUGAGAUACGGCCCAGACUCCUACGGGAGGCAGCAGUGGGGAAUAUUGCACAAUGGGCGGAAGCCUGAUGCAGCAACGCCGCGUGCGGGAUGACGGCCUUCGGGUUGUAAACCGCUUUCGCCUGUGACGAAGCGUGAGUGACGGUAAUUGGUAAAGAAGCACCGGCUAACUACGUG